ACAGGGCUGGAGCCACUGAGGCCUUGGAAACCACCUCACAGCCACCCACCCACCUCACUCUCCUGGGGCCUCUGAGUCUGCCGCAUGGAGAGUAACUGCUGUGACAUAUGCAAAGCUGGGCAUUGGGCGAGAUGGUCCAGCUGUCCUCAGACUUGAAGAGCUGCCUCUUUGUGAUCUACCACUGGAGUCCCAGGGCCCAGAGCCAGAGCUUCUCCAUUGAUCCUGUCCUGGGGUUUAUUUAGCUGGAAAAGGGUCAAAUUCCAGCAUGCGCAGACCUUCGUGCACCCCAGGACAGCGAGCCUGGAUGCUUCCCAGAGCCUGAACUGACUGGAGGAGGACUCGGCCAGAGUGUGCCAGGCCCAUGGAGCCCUACCCCAGUGACCGGUGCCUUCGGAAGCAGGACCCUGAGAAUCUUCCAGACUCUUUCCUCUGAAAGCCAAAAAGAAAGUUCCUCCUGACUCCGCUCCACACGGCUUCUCCCCAUGAGCCCCAGA